GGACUACUGGGGUAUCUAAUCCUGUUUGCUCCCCACGCUUUCGCGUCUCAGCGUCAGUCAUCGUCCAGAAGGCCGCCUUCGCCGCAGGUGUUCUGCUUGAUAUCUACGAAUUUCACCUCUACACCAAGCAUUCCACCUUCCUCUCCGAGACUCCAGCGAUGCAGUUUCGGAUGCACUUCCACGGUUGAGCCGUGGGAUUUCACAUCCGACUUGCAAAGCCGCCUACACGCGCUUUACGCCCAGUAAAUCCGAACAACGUUUGCACCCUCUGUCUUACCGCGGCUGCUGGCAC
rnacentral:rRNA from 1 species